GAAAUGCGAUAAGUAAUGUGAAUUGCAGAAUUCAGUGAAUCAUCGAAUCUUUGAACGCACCUUGCGCUCCUUGGUAUUCCGAGGAGCAUGCCUGUUUGAGUGUCUUGAAGUCAUCAACCCCAAGCGUUUUGUGCGUUCUGGCGGUUGGAGCUGGGGGCUGCUGCCGUGAGGCUGCUCCCCUCAAAUGCAUCGGUUGGACCUGUGGGUCGAACUCGACUGGGCGUUGUACCAUCCUCGCUCUUACCCGAGACGUUCCCCUUUGUCGCGUCCUUCCGCAGACCCCUGCCCGUUGGAGUUGGCGGUCAACACUUUUGAAAUUCUGACCUCAAAUCAGGUAGGACUACCCGCUGAACUUAA
rnacentral:misc_RNA from 1 species